CCGCAAGGCUAAAAAUCAAAGGAAUUUGACGGGGGCCCGCACAAGCGGCGGAGCAUGUGGCUUAAUUCGACGCAACGCGAAGAACCUUACCAAGGCUUGACAUACACCGGAAACACCUAGAGAUAGGUGCCCCCUUGUGGUCGGUGUACAGGUGGUGCAUGGCUGUCGUCAGCUCGUGUCGUGAGAUGUUGGGUUAAGUCCCGCAACGAGCGCAACCCUUGUCCCGUGUUGCCAGCAGGCCCUUGUGGUGCUGGGGACUCACGGGAGACCGCCGGGGUCAACUCGGAGGAAGGUGGGGACGACGUCAAGUCAUCAUGCCCCUUAUGUCUUGGGCUGCACACGUGCUACAAUGGCCGGUACAAAGAGCUGCGAUACCGUGAGGUGGAGCGAAUCUCAAAAAGCCGGUCUCAGUUCGGAUUGGGGUCUGCAACUCGACCCCAUGAAGUCGGAGUCGCUAGUAAUCGCAGAUCAGCAUUGCUGCGGUGAAUACGUUCCCGGGCCUUGUACACACCGCCCGUCACGUCACGAAAGUCGGUAACACCCGAAGCCGGUGGCCCAACCCCUUGUGGGA
rnacentral:rRNA from 1 species